rnacentral:rRNA from 1 species
UACGUAGGUCCCGAGCGUUGUCCGGAUUUAUUGGACGUAAAGCGAGCGCAGGUGGUUUAUUAAGUCUGGUGUAAAAGGCAGUGGCUCAACCAUUGUAUGCAUUGGAAACUGGUAGACUUGAGUGCAGGAGAGGAGAGUGGAAUUCCAUGUGUAGCGGUGAAAUGCGUAGAUAUAUGGAGGAACACCGGUGGCGAAAGCGGCUCUCUAGCCUGUAACUGACACUGAGGCUCGAAAGCGUGGGGAGCAAACAGG